rnacentral:rRNA from 1 species
GACGAACGCUGGCGGCGUGCUUAACACAUGCAAGUCGAACGGAAAGGCCCUGCUUUUGUGGGGUGCUCGAGUGGCGAACGGGUGAGUAACACGUGAGUAACCUGCCCUUGACUUUGGGAUAACUUCAGGAAACUGGGGCUAAUACCGGAUAGGAGCUCCUGCUGCAUGGUGGGGGUUGGAAAGUUUCGGCGGUUGGGGAUGGACUCGCGGCUUAUCAGUUUGUUGGUGGGGUAGUGGCUUACCAAGGCUUUGACGGGUAGCCGGCCUGAGAGGGUGACCGGCCACAUUGGGACUGAGAUACGGCCCAGACUCCUACGGGAGGCAGCAGUGGGGAAUAUUGCACAAUGGGCGGAAGCCUGAUGCAGCAACGCCGCGUGCGGGAUGACGGCCUUCGGGUUGUAAACCGCUUUCGCCUGUGACGAAGCGUGAGUGACGGUAAUGGGUAAAGAAGCACCGGCUAACUACGUGCCAGCAGCCGCGGUGAUACGUAGGGUGCGAGCGUUGUCCGGAUUUAUUGGGCGUAAAGGGCUCGUAGGUGGUUGAUCGCGUCGGAAGUGUAAUCUUGGGGCUUAACCCUGAGCGUGCUUUCGAUACGGGUUGACUUGAGGAAGGUAGGGGAGAAUGGAAUUCCUGGUGGAGCGGUGGAAUGCGCAGAUAUCAGGAGGAACACCAGUGGCGAAGGCGGUUCUCUGGGCCUUUCCUGACGCUGAGGAGCGAAAGCGUGGGGAGCGAACAGGCUUAGAUACCCUGGUAGUCCACGCUGUAAACGGUGGGUACUAGGUGUGGGGUCCAUUCCACGGGUUCCGUGCCGUAGCUAACGCUUUAAGUACCCCGCCUGGGGAGUACGGCCGCAAGGCUAAAACUCAAAGGAAUUGACGGGGCCCCGCACAAGCGGCGGAGCAUGCGGAUUAAUUCGAUGCAACGCGUAGAGCCUUACCUGGGUUUGACAUGGAUCGGGAGUGCUCAGAGAUGGGUGUGCCUCUUUUGGGGUCGGUUCACAGGUGGUGCAUGGCUGUCGUCAGCUCGUGUCGUGAGAUGUUGGGUUAAGUCCCGCAACGAGCGCAACCCCUGUUCACUGUUGCCAGCACGUUAUGGUGGGGACUCAGUGGAGACCGCCGGGGUCAACUCGGAGGAAGGUGGGGAUGACGUCAAGUCAUCAUGCCCCUUAUGUCCAGGGCUUCACGCAUGCUACAAUGGCUGGUACAGAGAGUGGCGAGCCUGUGAGGGUGAGCGAAUCUCGGAAAGCCGGUCUCAGUUCGGAUUGGGGUCUGCAACUCGACCUCAUGAAGUCGGAGUCGCUAGUAAUCGCAGAUCAGCAACGCUGCGGUGAAUACGUUCCCGGG